GGAGCUUGCUCCCUGAUGUUAGCGGCGGACGGGUGAGUAACACGUGGGUAACCUGCCUGUAAGACUGGGAUAACUCCGGGAAACCGGGGCUAAUACCGGAUGGUUGUUUGAACCGCAUGGUUCAGACAUAAAAGGUGGCUUCGGCUACCACUUACAGAUGGACCCGCGGCGCAUUAGCUAGUUGGUGAGGUAACGGCUCACCAAGGCGACGAUGCGUAGCCGACCUGAGAGGGUGAUCGGCCACACUGGGACUGAGACACGGCCCAGACUCCUACGGGAGGCAGCAGUAGGGAAUCUUCCGCAAUGGACGAAAGUCUGACGGAGCAACGCCGCGUGAGUGAUGAAGGUUUUCGGAUCGUAAAGCUCUGUUGUUAGGGAAGAACAAGUGCCGUUCAAAUAGGGCGGCACCUUGACGGUACCUAACCAGAAAGCCACGGCUAACUACGUGCCAGCAGCCGCGGUAAUACGUAGGUGGCAAGCGUUGUCCGGAAUUAUUGGGCGUAAAGGGCUCGCAGGCGGUUUCUUAAGUCUGAUGUGAAAGCCCCCGGCUCACCCGGGGAGGGUCAUUGGAAACUGGGGAACUUGAGUGCAGAAGAGGAGAGUGGAAUUCCACGUGUAGCGGUGAAAUGCGUAGAGAUGUGGAGGAACACCAGUGGCGAAGGCGACUCUCUGGUCUGUAACUGACGCUGAGGAGCGAAAGCGUGGGGAGCGAACAGGAUUAGAUACCCUGGUAGUCCACGCCGUAGACGAUGAGUGCUAAGUGUUAGGGGGUUUCCGCCCCUUAGUGCUGCAGCUAACGCAUUAAGCACUCCGCCUGGGGAGUACGGUCGCAAGACUGAAACUCAAAGGAAUUGA
rnacentral:rRNA from 1 species